rnacentral:rRNA from 1 species
UUACACAUGCAAGUCGAACGGCAGCACGGACUUCGGUCUGGUGGCGAGUGGCGAACGGGUGAGUAAUGUAUCGGAACGUGCCUAGUAGCGGGGGAUAACUACGCGAAAGCGUAGCUAAUACCGCAUACGCCCUUCGGGGGAAAGCAGGGGAUCGCAAGACCUUGCACUAUUAGAGCGGCCGAUAUCGGAUUAGCUAGUUGGUGGGGUAACGGCUCACCAAGGCGACGAUCCGUAGCUGGUUUGAGAGGACGACCAGCCACACUGGGACUGAGACACGGCCCAGACUCCUACGGGAGGCAGCAGUGGGGAAUUUUGGACAAUGGGGGAAACCCUGAUCCAGCCAUCCCGCGUGUGCGAUGAAGGCCUUCGGGUUGUAAAGCACUUUUGGCAGGAAAGAAACGUCCCGGGAUAAUACCCCGGGAAACUGACGGUACCUGCAGAAUAAGCACCGGCUAACUACGUGCCAGCAGCCGCGGUAAUACGUAGGGUGCAAGCGUUAAUCGGAAUUACUGGGCGUAAAGCGUGCGCAGGCGGUUCGGAAAGAAAGAUGUGAAAUCCCAGAGCUUAACUUUGGAACUGCAUUUUUAACUACCGAGCUAGAGUGUGUCAGAGGGAGGUGGAAUUCCGCGUGUAGCAGUGAAAUGCGUAGAUAUGCGGAGGAACACCGAUGGCGAAGGCAGCCUCCUGGGAUAACACUGACGCUCAUGCACGAA